GUGGACCAUGAAAUUGGGGUCAAGAGUCUAAUUUGGCUUUAAAAUUAGAAAGAUCAUAUCAUAAGCAACAAGUGUACUAAGUUUCAAGUUGAUUGGACUUCAGCUUCAUCAAAAACUACCUUGACCAAAAACUUAACCUGAAACUCCCACUUUCAUUUUCUAUGUUCAGUGGACCGUGAAAUUGGGGUCAAAAGUCUAAUUUGGCUUUAAAAUUAAAAAGAUCAUAUCAUAAGCAACAAG
rnacentral:lncRNA from 1 species